UCAUUGAAAUACCAGUUCUCAUAUGAUCCCUGAAGUUAAGCAACAUCAACCCUGGUCAGUACUUAGAUGGGUAACUGCUUGGAAAUUGCAGGUGGUGUA